rnacentral:rRNA from 1 species
UACGUAGGUGGCAAGCGUUGUCCGGAAUUAUUGGGCGUAAAGCGCGCGCAGGCGGUUAUGUAAGGCUGAUGUUAAAACCCGGGGCUCAACCUCGGUUCGCAUUGGAAACAGCGUAACUUGAGUGCAGAAGAGGAAAGUGGUAUUCCACGUGUAGCGGUGAAAUGCGUAGAUAUGUGGAGGAACACCAGUGGCGAAGGCGACUUUCUGGUCUGUAAAUGACGCUGAGGCGCGAAAGCGUGGGGAGCAAACAGG